rnacentral:rRNA from 1 species
UCCGUAGGUGAACCUGCGGAGGGAUCAUUACAGAGUUAUCUAACUCCCAAACCCAUGUGAACUUACCAUUGUUGCCUCGGCAGAACCUACCCGGUACCUACCCUGUAACGACCUACCCUGUAGCGAGUUACCCGGGAACGGCCUACCCUGUAGUGCGCUGCCGGUGGACAUCUAAACUCUUGUUAUUUAUUGUAAUCUGAGCGUCUUAUUUUAAUAAGUCAAAACUUUCAACAACGGAUCUCUUGGUUCUGGCAUCGAUGAAGAACGCAGCGAAAUGCGAUACGUAAUGUGAAUUGCAGAAUUCAGUGAAUCAUCGAAUCUUUGAACGCACAUUGCGCCCAUUAGUAUUCUAGUGGGCAUGCCUGUUCGAGCGUCAUUUCAACCCUUAAGCCUAGCUUAGUAUUGGGAAUCUACUGUAUUGUAGUUCCCCAAAUCCAACGGCGGAUCUGUGGUAUCCUCUGAGCGUAGUAAUUUUUAUCUCGCUUUUGUUAGGUGCUGCAGCUCUCAGCCGCUAAACCCCCCCGAAU